ACGCAACUUGUUUUUUCUCCUCUGCAAUAAAAAAAAAACGAUGGUGCAGUUUCAAAAUGAAACGGCAUAGUGUUUCAGGAAAGUGGGGAUGUGGGGGAAUGUAGCCUGACUCGAGAAAACAGGUAAACUGAAGGAAUGGCCGGAGUUUAAGAGUUCUCUCGGACCAGGCUUCAUUCCCCUCAUCCACACCUUCUCCUCCUCCUCCACCUUGAUGUUUCAUCUCUCGCCAUACUUGUUCCAGCAUCUGAAAUAAGAAGUGAUCUUCGAAUAUCAAGAGGGCAAGAAGCUCAGCUUGGAGAGUGAAAAACCCAUCUUCGAAUAUCCAAUGGCAGCACUGCCGGAAGUGGACCACAUCAAGCCAGGAUAUUCAUGGCUUCCAUGAAGGAAUCAAACUAGCGUGCGGCCAUGUCUGCUCAGCUUGUAGUGAUUAUAAUAAAUAUGGAUUUCUGAAUUUCUAUCUACUCUUCUCCCCGUUAAGCCGUGCUUUUAACAGCUGUAACAGUUGUUUUAAUAAAUCUCUU